AACGAACGCUGGCGGCAGGCCUAACACAUGCAAGUCGAGCGCCCCGCAAGGGGAGCGGCGGACGGGUGAGUAACGCGUGAGAACGUACCCUUUGCUACGGAAUAGCCUCGGGAAACUGGGAGUAAUACCGUAUGUGCCCUUCGGGGGAAAGAUUUAUCGGCAAAGGAUCGGCCCGCGUUGGAUUAGGUAGUUGGUGGGGUAAUGGCCUACCAAGCCGACGAUCCAUAGCUGGUUUGAGAGGAUGAUCAGCCACACUGGGACUGAGACACGGCCCAGACUCCUACGGGAGGCAGCAGUGGGGAAUCUUAGACAAUGGGCGCAAGCCUGAUCUAGCCAUGCCGCGUGAGCGAUGAAGGCCUUAGGGUUGUAAAGCUCUUUCAGGGGGGAAGAUAAUGACUGUACCCCCAGAAGAAGCCCCGGCUAACUCCGUGCCAGCCGCCGCCGUAACAC
rnacentral:rRNA from 1 species